CCUCAUUUAAAGUCGGAGGCGCUAAUGACCUAUUAACUAAACAGCUGCCUGGUGUUUAGUGGUCACCCCCCUGGGCUGUGCUGCCAACAUGUGGAGCAAUGCCCACCGGGCUACAGCAACAGCUGUGCCAAGAAAGGCUGGCGGUCUUCCUCAGUGAGCCUCAUCAGUCGCCGGGAUUGAUGGCAGAUGGGGAUGGUGACGGACCC